GGGGGAAUUCCCGAGUGGCCAAAGGGGGCAGACUGUAAAUCUGUUGGCACCGCCUUCGGUGGUUCGAAUCCACCUUCCCCCACCA
rnacentral:tRNA from 1 species